GCACAAGCUGGCUUGACUGUAAGAGGUACAUCUCAAGCAGGUGGGAAACCAGAACAUAGUGAUCCGACCAUACGCAUUAGACGCGGUGGAAGCUCAACGGAUAAAAGCUACUCUAGGGAUAACAGGCUAGUUCCGCCUAAGAGUUCAUAUCGACGGCGGAGUUCGGCACCUCGAUGUCGGCUCACCUUAGCGCGGCGGUGGAGAAGCUGCCAAGCGUAUGGCUGUUCGCCAUUUAAAAAGGUACGCGAGCUGGGUUCAGACCGUUCUUCAGUCAAUUAUUAAAUUGACUUCAGAACAGUCUGGAUCCUCAGAGGAAUAGUGAACGAAAGUGAACUACUGUUUUAAUCGAAAUUAACCAUAUUGCUGUUUGCAAUAUCACGGCGGUCGCGUUAAAUUUAUAUUAACAAAUCACGCGAUGAAGUCGGGGUUUUCGGUGGAAUCCUAUCACAUUUAUGUGAGGACAAUACCGAGAAGAAAAUUUAUUUUUUCUUUGUAGAGACUACAAACCGACCCCCUUAAAUUGGGGAAUGUAUAGUCCAAUCCCAUAAGUAAUUAUGGAAAUUGCUAAAGCCUAAGGCCUAAUGCCUAAAGCCUAGCAUGUAGAUGCGUGAGACAGGUUGGUCUCCUAUCUACUGCACUCGUUGAUUCUUGAGAAGAUUUGCUCCUAGUAGGCCCGGAAGGGCUUUGCUACUUCACGAAGAAAUUUGUGAUGAAAAAGUGGCUAAUAACGGUGAAGUCUUCAUUGAUGUUUCUGAUUUGAGAAAAAUAAUAUCAUUCGAUCCUUGAUAUUAUGAUUCGCUUGAGGACCAGAAAUAUGAUAAGAUAAUACCGUGGGAAGUCGAUUUAAAAUUAUGAAAGAAAUUGAGAAAGCUUAUAUUGCUGGUUUUCUUGAUGGAGAUGGUAGUCUAAUGCUUCAAAUUAAAAAAAGAAGUGAUAGUAAACGAGGAAUUCGUUUUAUGACAACCAUUUGUUUCUAUCAAGACACUAGACAUGAAAAGACUUUAUAUUGGAUGAAAAAGAUUUUAGGUAUUGGUUAUAUUUCCAGAAGAAAUGAUGGAAUGACUGAACUUAGAAUAAAUGGAUAUGUGCAGAUUGCAAAAAUUCUUAAAGAUUUAUUGCCUUUUGUAAAAUUCAAAAAAAUACAAGCUAAUAUUUUAUACAAAGCUUGUAAUCUUUUAUCUAAAACAAAGUUUAGUAAUCUCUCGGAAAAACAAUUAAUUAAGCUCGUUGAUUUAAUUUUAGUUAUUCAAGGUGAAAACUAUGUUACUAAAAAGAAAAAAACCAAAAAUGAAUUGUUUAAAAUUUUAAAUUUGACCCCGUAACGACUUGUUUCCGACUUUAUGUCGGAACGGACUUACAUAACACUGGAAAGUUCUAAUAUAUUUAAUAUAUGAGAACAGGUUUAUGUUUGUAAUACGCCAACGCCUUAACUUUAAUUAAAGAAAGGCGAAGAUAUAGUCUGCACUCCUAGAAAUAGGGGAGAUAUGUGACGAGAGGACCGGAGUGAACUGACCUCUGGUGUACGAGCUCUAUUGCCAAAUGGACUGCUCGGUAGCUAUGUCGGGAUUGGAUAACCUCUGAAAGCAUCUAAGAGGGAAGCCAGCUUCAAGAUUAGGAAUCGUUAAGAACCGUGAGAGAUGAUCACGUUGAUAGGCUUUAAGUGUAAGCACAGUAAUGUGUUGAGCUGAGAAGUACUAAUGUUUCGAU
rnacentral:rRNA from 1 species